ensembl:snRNA U6 U6 spliceosomal RNA
GUGCUCCCUUUGGAAGCACAUAUGCUAAAAUUGGAAUGAUACGGAAAAGAUUAGCAUGGUCCCUGCACAAGAAUGACACACAAAUUUGUGAAGCAUUGAAUAUUUUU